rnacentral:lncRNA from 1 species
CUGUUCUACUGUUCUCCAGUUCUCCUGUUCUCCUGUUCUCCUGUUCUACUGUUCUCCUGUUCUACUAUUCUCCUGUUCUCCUGUUCUACUGUUCUCCUGUUCUCCUGUUCUCCUGUUCUCCUGUUCUACUGUUCUCCUGUUCUCCUGUUCUACUAUUCUCACAAGUUGUUUUGGGAGGUCCACUUUUGCACCUUCCUGCUGGAGUCCAGCCAGGUGUUGUCUGUCUCAGAGAUGUUCUCUUCUUCAUACUGCAGAACCAUCCAUCUCCAUCAUCUUAAUGUAAAGGGUGACCUCUUCAAUGUGUCGUACCCGUCAUGGAAAACCUUAGACCGCCAUUUUGUUUGAGUGUUGGUGAUUAAUUUAGUCUGUUUAACUGUAAGGCUGAUUUUAAGAAGGGAGAUUGACAAGUUGAAAUGGUCAGAUAGUAACCCUUGCUCCUGUUAACUCUCUACCUAUCUGUUUAAAAGGAUACUUUGGGAUUUAGGCAAUGAGGUCCUUUAUCUACUGACCCAGAGUCAGAUGAACUCCUUUAUCUACUGACCCAGAGUCAGAUGAACUCCUUUAUCUACUGACCCAGAGUCAGAUGAGGUCCUUUAUCUACUGACCCAGAGUCAGAUGAACUCCUUUAUCUACUGACCCAGAGUCAGAUUAACUCCUUUAUCAACUGACCCAGAGUCAGAUGAACUCCUUUAUCUACUGACCCAGAGUCAGAUGAGGUCCUUUAUCUACUGACCCAGAGUCAGAUGAGGUCCUUUAUCUACUGACCCAGAGUCAGAUUAACUGCCAUAGACUUCCAGUUAUUGCUCUAACACUAGUAUCUAACUUCCUACAUUCUGGACACAGAGACAUAAAAAUGGCAUCAACGAGUUCAACUGACUCUGGGUAAAUAGAUAAAGGUCUCAUUGCCAAAAUCCUGAAGUUUCUCUUUAAGAAUUAUAUCUUAUUAUUAUAUUUACAUCACUGUGUUCUAGAAUGGUAUCUUAUUGUUUUAUUUACAUCACUGUGUUCUAGAAUCAUAUCUUAUUGUUUUAUUUACAUCACUGUGUUCUAGAAUGGUAUCUUAUUGUUUUAUUUACAUCACUGUGUUCUAGAAUCAUAUCUUAUUAUUUUAUUUACAUCACUGUGUUCUAGAAUGGUAUCUUAUUGUUUUAUUUACAUCACUGUGUUCUAGAAUGAUAUCUUAUUAUUUUAUUUACAUCACCGUGUUCUAGAGUGAUUUAUUAUUAUUUUGCUUUAGAUUUUAUUUACAUCACUGUGUUCUAGAAUGGUUACAUCCAAUAUUCUAUUGACUUAUCACUAUGAUCUGUAUAUUACCUUUAAGACAGAGGGAACCAUAUGUGUUGUAUGUUACUGUGCCUUUAAGACAGAGGGAACCAUAUGUGUUGUAUGUUACUGUGCCUUUAAGACAGAGGGAACCAUAUGUGUUGUAUGUUACUGUGCCUUUAAGACAGAGGGAACCACAUGUGUUGUAUGUUACUGUACCUUUAAGACAGAGGGAACCACAUGUGUUGUAUGUUACUGUACCUUUAAGACAGAGGGAACCACAUGUGUUGUAUGUUAC